rnacentral:rRNA from 1 species
UAAUAUUUAUUUAUUAAUUUGUUUUUUUUUAUUAAUUAUUAAUAAAAAUAAUUUUAAUGAUUUUAGUUUUAGUAAUGUAUAAUGAAUCAAUAAUUUUAAUUAUAGUGUAUUAGUAUUGUAAAAGAAUAUUGAAAUAAUUUGAAAAAUUUUUAUUUUAAAAGAAAAUUUUAUUUAUUGUACCUUGUGUAUCAGGGUUUAUUAAAUAAUAAAUUAUUAUAUUAAUUUUUCUCGAAUUUUAAAGAUUUAAUUGUAUAAAAAAGUUAUUGUAGAAUAACUAUUUUAAAUAUAUAAUUAGAAAUGAAAUGUUAAUCGUUUUAAAAUAUAUCUAGUUUUUUAAGAAAUAAAUUUAAUUUAGUUUAUUUAUUUUAUUAAUUUAAUUUUUUUAAUUUAAUAAAUGAAUAUGAUAAUAUUUUAAGGGAUAAGCUUUAAAAUAAAUUUUUAUAUUUUUAAUAAUUAAAAAAUAAAUAUAAGCUUAAAAAUAGCUAUUAUUAAUAAAUUUGUUAUAAUUUAUUUUUUAUUUAAAAUUAUUUAUUUUUAAAUUAAAUUUUUUAUUAAAAUAUAAUUUUUAAUUAGUUAAAAUUAUAAAUUAUGAUAAAAUUAGUAUAUAAAUUUAUAUAAAAUAAUUAAUUUGAUAGGUUUAAAUGAAGAAUUCGGCAAAUUAAAUAUGUUCACCUGUUUAACAAAAACAUGUCUUUUUGAUUUUUAUAUAAAGUCUAGCCUGCCCACUGAAAUUUAAAGGGCCGCGGUAUCUUGACCGUGCGAAGGUAGCAUAAUCAAUAGUCUUUUAAUUGAAGGCUGGUAUGAAUGGUUGAAUGAGAUAUAUACUGUUUUUUUUAAAUUUAUAUAGAACUUUAUUUUUUAAUUAAAAAGUUAAAAUAGUAUUAAAGGACGAGAAGACCCUAUAGAUCUUUAUUUUUAUAAAUUAUAAAUUAUAAAGAAUUUUAAAAUUUAUAUUUUUGAUAAAAUUUUACUGGGGUGGUAUUAAAAUUUAAUAAACUUUUAUUUAUUAUUAACAUUGAUUUAUGAAUAUUAGAUCCUUUAUUAUGGAUUAAAAAAUUAAGUUACCUUAGGGAUAACAGCGUAAUUUUUUUAGAGAGUUCAUAUCGAUAAAAAAGAUUGCGACCUCGAUGUUGGAUUAAGAGUUAUUUUUAGGUGUAGAAGUUUAAAGUUUAGGUCUGUUCGACCUUUGAAUUCUUACAUGAUCUGAGUUCAAACCGGCGUAAGCCAGGUUGGUUUCUAUCCUUAAUUAAUUAUUAUAUUGUAGUACGAAAGGACCUAAUAUAAAAAAUAUAAUUUUAAAUUAUUUGAAAAUUAAUAAUUUUAUUUACUAUUUUGGCAAAGUCUAGCCUGCAAUAAAUUUAGAAUUUAUAAAUAUAAUUUUUAAUUAUAAAUUUUAUUUUAUUUGAAAAUUAAUAAUUUUGUUU